rnacentral:rRNA from 1 species
UCAAGCAAGUAAGGGCACGAGGCGGAUGCCUUGGCGUCAAGAGUCGAUGAAGGGCGUAGGAGCCUGCGAAAAGUUCCGGGGAGCUGGCAAGCAAGCGUUCGAUCCGGAAAUACCCGAAUGGGGAAACCCACUGCCACAAUCUGGCAGUACUGCAAUUGCAGAGACAACGCAGGGAACUGAAACAUCUAAGUACCUGCAGGAAAGGAAAUCAACCGAGACUCCCUUAGUAGCGGCGAGCGAAAGGGGAAUAGCCCAAACCCGAUGUGUGUAAGCGUGCAGGCGUUGUUCAUCGGGGGUUGUGGAGUGUUCAUCUCAAGGCUGCAUCCUUGGGGCACAGUUACCAAACUUGAGUAUAGAAGAAGCAGCUGGAAAGCUGCGGCAGAGAGGGUGACACCCCCGUACUCGAAAUGCUCAAGACUGUGUGGACAGAUCCAGAGUACCCUGGGACACGUGAAAUCCCGGGGGAAGCAGGGAGGACCAUCUUCCAAGGCUAAGUACUACUUGACGACCGAUAGUGAACAAGUACCGUGAGGGAAAGGUGAAAAGUACUCCGAUGAGGAGGGUGAAAAGAUCCUGAAACCUCGUGCCUACAAACAGUGGGAGCCGCAAGGUGACCGCGUACCUUUUGCAUAAUGAGUCAGCGAGUUGUCCUUUGUAGCGAGGUUAAGCCGUUAGGUGAAGCCGAAGGGAAACCGAGUCCGAACAGGGCGACAUAGUUACGGGGGGCAGACCCGAACCCAGGUGAGCUACCCAUGGCCAGGGUGAAGCGAUGGUAAGACGUCGUGGAGGCCCGAACCCACUAAAGUUGAAAAUUUAGGGGAUGAGCUGUGGGUCGGAGUGAAAGGCUAAUCAAACCUGGAGAUAGCUGGUUCUCCCCGAAAUGCAUUUACGUGCAGCGUCAGAUAGCACCGUCGAGGGUAGAGCACUGAAUGGGCUAGGGGCCUACCCCGGUUACCAAACCCAAUCAAACUCCGAAUCUCGAUGAGUGACGUAUGGCAGUGAGGCUGCGGGAGAUAAGUUUCGUAGCCAAGAGGGAAAGAACCCAGACUACCGGCUAAGGCCCCCAAGUGUGUGCUAAGUGGUCAAGGUGGUGAGGAAACACAGACAACCAGGAAGUUGGCUUAGAAGCAGCCACCCUUUAAAGAAAGCGUAAUAGCUCACUGGUCAAGUUGCCUUGCGCCGUAAAUAUAACGGGGCUAAGCACACCGCCGAAGCCGUAGACUAGCUUUGCUAGUGGUAGGGGAGCGUUCUAGCAGCACUGAAGCUCACUCGUCAGGGUGGGUGGAGCGGCUAGAAGUGAGAAUGCUGACAUGAGUAGCGAUAAAGGGGGUGAAAAACCCCCUCGCCGAAAGCCCAAGGUUUCCUAUCCCAGGAUCAUCCGGGUAGGGUUAGUCGGCCCCUAAGGCGUAGCCGAAAGGCGAAGCUGAUGGGAAACAGAUUAAUAUUUCUGUACCACCUUGUUGGAGCAGAGCGGGGACGGAGAAGGCUAGGUCAGCUGCCUAUUGGAUGGCAGUACAAGCCCGUAGGCUGAGCUCGUAGGAAUAAAACGCGAGCUCAAAGCCAAGAGGUGACGUAGACCCUUUCGAGGGAAUUGAUUGAUGCCACGCUUCCAAGAAAAGCCGCGUACUGUGAUGAAAGCAGGUGACCGUACCGCAAACCGACUCAGGUGGGCGAGUGGAGAACACUAAGGCGCUAGGGAGAACACUGGUUAAGGAACUAGGCAAAUUGACACCGUAACUUCGGGAUAAGGUGUGCCACGUAUAGGUGAUACCCCUGCGGGUGGAGCCGAUGGUGGUUACAACAAAGCGGCGGUAGCGACUGUUUACCAAAAACACAGGUCUCUGCGAAACCGUAAGGUGACGUAUAGGGACUGACGCCUGCCCGGUGCCGGAAGGUUAAAAGGAGUUGUUAGGGUAACCGAAGCAAUGAAUUGAAGCCCCGGUAAACGGCGGCCGUAACAAUAACGGUCCUAAGGUAGCGAAAUUCCUUGUCGGGUA